UUUUAAAUUGACUCCAGAAGGAUUUUUACAAAUCAGCAGCCUCACCAUCUCUGCCAUGAAACUGACUUGAGAACUUUAUUCAUAUCUGUUCAUAGAAGAAUCAAAGAAUCACAAGAAUGAUUAAAGGACUGGAAAACCUGCCUCACAGUAACAGACUCAAAGAACUCCAUCUGUUUAGCUUAUCAAAAAGAAGGGGACGGGGUGACUUGAUCUGUAAGUGUCUACAUUGGGAACAGAAAUUUGGUAGUAGAAGGCUCUUCAG